rnacentral:miRNA from 1 species
UUCCUCCCGGCCGCUGAGGGUGUAUAGCUCUCAGCGGCCAAGAGGGAUUCCUCCCGGCCAGUGAGAGUGUACUCUUUCACCGGCCGAGAGGAAUCCCUCUCGGUCAAUGAGAGCGUACACUCUCAUCAACCAAGAGGGAUUCCUCUCGGCUGGUGAGAGUAUACACUCUCAGCGGCCGGGAGGAA